UACGUAGGCAGCAAGCGUUGUUCGGAGUUACUGGGCGUAAAGGGUGUGUAGGCGGUUGUUUAAGUUUGGUGUGAAAUCUCCCGCUCAACCGGGAGGGUGCGCCGAAUACUGAAUGACUUGGAGUGCGGGAGAGGAAAGUGGAAUUCCAGGUGUAGCGGUGAAAUGCGUAGAUAUCUGGAGGAAUACCGGUGGCGAAGGCGGCAUUCUGGACCGACAUUGACACUAAAGCGCGAAAGCCAGGGGAGCAAACGGG
rnacentral:rRNA from 1 species